rnacentral:rRNA from 1 species
GAUGAACGCUGGCGGCGUGCCUAAUACAUGCAAGUCGAGCGAACGGACGAGAAGCUUGCUUCUCUGAUGUUAGCGGCGGACGGGUGAGUAACACGUGGAUAACCUACCUAUAAGACUGGGAUAACUUCGGGAAACCGGAGCUAAUACCGGAUGAUAUUUUGAACCGCAUGGUUCAAAAGUGAAAGACGGUCUUGCUGUCACUUAUAGAUGGAUCCGCGCUGCAUUAGCUAGUUGGUAAGGUAACGGCUUACCAAGGCAACGAUGCAUAGCCGACCUGAGAGGGUGAUCGGCCACACUGGAACUGAGACACGGUCCAGACUCCUACGGGAGGCAGCAGUAGGGAAUCUUCCGCGAUGGGCGAAAGCCUGACGGAGCAACGCCGCGUGAGUGAUGAAGGUCUUAGGAUCGUAAAACUCUGUUAUUAGGGAAGAACAUAUGUGUAAGUAACUGUGCACAUCUUGACGGUACCUAAUCAGAAAGCCACGGCUAACUACGUG